rnacentral:rRNA from 1 species
AACGGCCAUACCGUUUUGAAUAUACCGGUUCUCGUUAGAUCACCGAAGUCAAGCAUCAUUGGGCGCGGUCAGUACUUGGGUGGGUGACCACCUGGGAACACCGCGUGCCGUU